GUGGCUUUAGCACAGCGGUAGUUGCGAGAGAUUGCAAUUCAAGAACAUCAUUGGUCUGAACCACAUCUCUAGGUCCCCGGUUCGAUCCCGGGAAGUCACU